rnacentral:rRNA from 1 species
GACGAACGCUGGCGGCGUGCUUAACACAUGCAAGUCGAACGGUGAACCUCUUCGGUGGGGAUCAGUGGCGAACGGGUGAGUAACACUUGGGCAACAUGCACCCGGCUCUGGGUUAGCUCCAAGAAAUUGGGACUAAUACCGGAUGUUCACCGCUUCCCGCAUGGCUUGGGGUGGAAAGGGUUUCCGGGUGGGGAUGGGCGCGCGGCCCAUCAGCUUGUUGGUGGGGUAGUGUCCUACCAAGGCGAGGACGGGUAGCCGGCCUGAGAGGGUGACCGGCCACACUGGGACUGAGACACGGCCCAGACUCCUACGGGAGGCAGCAGUGGGGAAUAUUGCGCAAUGGGCGGAAGCCUGACGCAGCAACGCCGCGUGGGGGAUGACGGCCUUCGGGUUGUAAACCUCUUUCAGCAGGGACGAAGCGCAAGUGACGGUACCUGCAGAAGAAGCACCGGCCAACUACGUG